UGUAACUUUACUUACUUUCAGUAGUCACAAUAUCGUCACUCCAUUAACACUUUGAUUGAAGAUGGGGUUGAAACUUAGGACAAGUGUUACCAUAGUUUGUAUCGUCUUGAUAUUGAUAGGAAGAACAUCCGCUGUUAUCUGCACAAAGCAAUGUAUUACGACUGCCCUUGGAUGUUCUGAUAAUUGUAGAUUCGUUCAGCUUUAUGAUAAUUACAAGCGUUGUGUGGAUAUCUGUCUAGUGAAAUGUUUUAAGUGUGAGCUACAUUGCAAUGACUCUAACUACUCGUGCAAAGAUUACUUUAAUAUUAUUUGAAACAUUGACUUCUAUUGAUUAAAAUUAUUUCUUUUAUACAUA